rnacentral:tRNA from 1 species
GGCCCCGUAGCUCAGCUUGGAAAGAGCGGCGGUCCUUAUGAGCCGUAGGUCCCGGGUUCAAAUCCCGGCGGGGCCGCCA